GAUGAACGCUGGCGGCGUGCCUAAUACAUGCAAGUCGAGCGAACAGACGAGGAGCUUGCUCCUCUGACGUUAGCGGCGGACGGGUGAGUAACACGUGGAUAACCUACCUAUAAGACUGGGAUAACUUCGGGAAACCGGAGCUAAUACCAGAUAAUAUAUUGAACCGCAUGGUUCAAUAGUGAAAGACGGUUUUGCUGUCACUUAUAGAUGGAUCCGCGCUGCAUUAGCUAGUUGGUAAGGUAACGGCUUACCAAGGCAACGAUGCGUAGCCGACCUGAGAGGGUGAUCGGCCACACUGGAACUGAGACACGGUCCAGACUCCUACGGGAGGCAGCAGUAGGGAAUCUUCCGCAAUGGGCGAAAGCCUGACGGAGCAACGCCGCGUGAGUGAUGAAGGUCUUCGGAUCGUAAAACUCUGUUAUUAGGGAAGAACAAAUGUGUAAGUAACUAUGCACGUCUUGACGGUACCUAAUCAGAAAGCCACGGCUAACUACGUG
rnacentral:rRNA from 1 species